AGAAAUAAAUUUACAAGAGAUUUUAAAAGAGUUUUAAAAUAUUUACAACGGAUUUUAAAGGGAUUUUAUAAGAUUUAUAAGGGAUUUUAAAUGGGUGAUUUACAAGAGAUUUUAAAAAGUUUUUAAAAGAUUUACAAGGGAUUUUAAAAGGGUUUUAAAAAAUUUACAAGAGAUUUUAAAGGGAUUUAAAAUAUUUACAAAGGUCUUUUAAAGAUUUUUAAAGAGUUUAAAAUUGUUUUAAAAGGAUUUUAAAAUAUUUAUAAGGGAUUUUAAAAGAGUUUUAUAAUAUUUAUAAGGGAUUUUAAAGGGUUUUAAAAGAUUUAUAAAGGGUUUGUAAAGAUUUUUAAAGGGUUUAAAAGUGUUUUGAAAAAUUUACAAGGGAUUUUAAAACCUUUUUAAAUUACUUGUAAAUUUUUUAAAACCCUUUUAAAAUCUCUUGUAAAUCUUUUAAAACUUUUUUAAAAUCUCUUGUAAAUCUUUUAAAACUUUUUUAAAAUCUCUUGUAAAUCUUUUAAAAUCCCUUGUAAAUCUAUUUGUCGCCAAAAAAUAUUUACAAAAUCCCUUGUAAAUCUAUUUGCCAUCAAAAAAUAUUUACAAGGAUUUUUAAAAUCAUUCUUUUGGUUGAGGAAAAAAUUGUUAUGAAAUAAAAAAUUGGCGGGAAAUUUUUUUUUGGCGGGAAAAAAAAUUUUUGGCACCGGCGGGAAAAGUUCAGUUUCCAAUUACAUGUUUCUAUUAGAUGAGGGUAAUUUGGUCAUUUUGUUCAAGAAAAUGAGUAUUUUAAAAAAUGGACAACAUAAAAGGGUAUUGUUGCAAAAGGGUACUAAAAAAAGGUAGUUUUGCAAAUCUCCCUAAAAAAAUCUAUCGACAAAAAACCGAUGCAAAAAAAAUAUGUGAGAUGUCGAUAGAUCAGUUUACAAGAAGAUUUCU
rnacentral:sRNA from 1 species